rnacentral:rRNA from 1 species
GAUGAACGCUGGCGGCGUGCCUAAUACAUGCAAGUCGAGCGAACAGACGAGGAGCUUGCUCCUCUGACGUUAGCGGCGGACGGGUGAGUAACACGUGGAUAACCUACCUAUAAGACUGGGAUAACUUCGGGAAACCGGAGCUAAUACCGGAUAAUAUAUUGAACCGCAUGGUUCAAUAGUGAAAUACGGUUUUGCUGUCACUUAUAGAUGGAUCCGCGCCGCAUUAGCUAGUUGGUAAGGUAACGGCUUACCAAGGCAACGAUGCGUAGCCGACCUGAGAGGGUGAUCGGCCACACUGGAACUGAGACACGGUCCAGACUCCUACGGGAGGCAGCAGGAGGGAAUCUUGCGCAAUGGGCGAAAGCCUGACGGAGCAACGCCGGGUGAGGGAUGAAGGUCUUCGGAUCGUAAAACUCUGUUAUUAGGGAAGAACAAAUGUGUCAGUAACUAUGCACGUCUUGACGGUACCUAGUCAGGAAGCCCCGGCUAACUACGUG